rnacentral:rRNA from 1 species
CGUUUAUUUGAUAGUGCCCUUACUACUUGGAUAACCGUGGUAAUUCUAGAGCUAAUACAUGCAUCAAGCCCCGACUUCUGGAGGGGUGUAUUUAUUAGAUAAAAAACCAAUGCCGUUCGCGGCUGCUUGGUGAAUCAUAAUAACGCAACGAAUCGCAUGGCCCUGCGCCGGCGAUGGUUCAUUCAAAUUUCUGCCCUAUCAACUUUCGAUUGUAGUUUAGUGGACUACAAUGGUUUCAACGGGUAACGGGGAAUUAGGGUUCGACUCCGGAGAGGGAGCCUGAGAAACGGCUACCACAUCCAAGGAAGGCAGCAGGCGCGCAAAUUACCCAAUCCCGACAUGGGGAGGUAGUGACAAAAAAUAGCGAUACAGGGCUCUUUUGGGUCUUGUAAUUGCAAUGAGUACAAUUUAAAUCCCUUAACGAGGAACAAUUGGAGGGCAAGUCUGGUGCCAGCAGCCGCGGUAAUUCCAGCUCCAAUAGCGUAUAUUAAAGUUGUUGCAGUUAAAAAGCUCGUAGUUGAAGCUUGGGCCUGGCCGGCCGGUCCGCCUCACCGCGUGCACUGGUUCGGCCGGGCCUUUCCUUCUGCGGAACGGCAUGCCCUUCACUGGGCGUGUGUGGGAAGCAGGACUUUUACUUUGAAAAAAUUAGAGUGUUCAAAGCAGGCCUUUGCUCGGAUACAUUAGCAUGGAAUAAUGGAAUAGGACGGCGCUUCUAUUUUGUUGGUUUCUAGAAAGAGCCGUAAUGAUUAAUAGGGACAGUUGGGGGCAUCCGUAUUCAGUUGUCAGAGGUGAAAUUCUUGGAUUUACUGAAGACGAACUACUGCGAAAGCAUUUGCCAAAGAUGUUUUCAUUAAUCAGUUGAACGAAAGUUAGGGGAUCGAAGACGAUCAGAUACCGUCGUAGUCUUAACCAUAAACUAUGCCGACUAGGGAUCGGACGAUGUUACUUUUUUGACUCGUUCGGCACCUUUCGAGAAAUCAAAGUUUUUGGGUUCUGGGGGGAGUAUGGUCGCAAGGCUGAAACUUAAAGAAAUUGACGGAAGGGCACCACCAGGAGUGGAGCCUGCGGCUUAAUUUGACUCAACACGGGGAAACUCACCAGGUCCAGAUACACGUAGGAUUGACAGAUUGAGAGCUCUUUCUUGAUUGUGUAGGUGGUGGUGCAUGGCCGUUCUUAGUUGGUGGAGUGAUUUGU